AGCUGCAUGACUGACGGAAGUGGAAAUGACCACAGGAAGUGCAGAAUGUGAGAGGCCGACCGUCUGGGCAA
rnacentral:ncRNA from 1 species